UCUUUCGUUGGCAGCGUGUUACUUGCGAUAAGUGCACACUCGAUGAAAGGUCUGGGCAUUCUCUCCUGGGUAGAAUAAAGUCUGCGGCUAGACUUUACGGCCCACGAUAAUCGCUAUUUGUUGAUGUUCGCAUCGCAGAUGGCAAUGUCGAAACUUGUGGACUUUACUUGCCGAUGGCUAGACCUGAGCAAUUCAAAGUAACCACUUGAAGAACCGAUGAGAUGUGGUGUUGCUUCUCUUAGCAAACGCCCGUCUCUUCAGUCUUCUCCUAGGACCAUGAUUCUGCGUUUUCUUUUAGGAAACCAGAAGAUUGGCUCCAGAGCGUGCAAGACCGGCGGACAAGGAGGUGGCUUGGUGUGCCCUUAAGUGUAGUACAAGCAUCGUCUGCUCCCUUUUAGGAGGCAAGACUUUGUGAGUAGUCCUUAUGUGGAAUCUCGCCAGCUGCCAAUUUGUUUUAAACAAUCUUCUUUGGAAGACUAUUGCGAACACAAGACGGGACCCUGAAGAAAGCGUUUUGAAGCCCUUCAGGCCUGUUUCUCUCCUUUUAGGAGGGGGCUCGAAUAGUUACCUGGUUGAUUCUGCCAGU
rnacentral:misc_RNA from 1 species